AGUGAACGCUGGCGGUAGGCCUAACACAUGCAAGUCGAACGGCAGCACAGUAAGAGCUUGCUCUUACGGGUGGCGAGUGGCGGACGGGUGAGGAAUACAUCGGAAUCUACUUUUUCGUGGGGGAUAACGUAGGGAAACUUACGCUAAUACCGCAUACGACCUACGGGUGAAAGCAGUGGAUCUUCGGACCUUUCGCGAUUGAAUGAGCCGAUGCCGGAUUAGCUAGUUGGUGGGGUAAAGGCCCACCAAGGCGACGAUCCGUAGCUGGUCUGAGAGGAUGAUCAGCCACACUGGAACUGAGACACGGUCCAGACUCCUACGGGAGGCAGCAGUGGGGAAUAUUGGACAAUGGGCGCAAGCCUGAUCCAGCAAUACCGCGUGGGUGAAGAAGGCCUUCGGGUUGUAAAGCCCUUUUGUUGGGAAAGAAAAGCAGCAGGUUAAUACCCGGCUGUUCUGACGGUACCCAAAGAAUAAGCACCGGCUAACUUCGUG
rnacentral:rRNA from 1 species